CACAAACUUCAGAAUGCCUUCAAUAGGUGACAAGAGGUACGGGACAAGUGUGCUGGAAGCUAAAAUCCGGUAUCACCACAGAAGUCUGACUGAACAGGAAAGGAGAGACAGGAAGGUCAGCACCACAUUGAAGCAGUCUGGUACACACUCUCCCAGCUAUUGAUGCCUUGGAAGAGGGGAGAGGCCAUGGCCCAGGAAAUGUAAACAGCUUCUUAAUGCUGUAAAUGGCUCAGAGAGUCAAGUUAAUCAGUUUAUCAUGUCCCCUUGGUCUACCAGAUGGUCCCUCAUGACCUGUGUAUCUCCUGACAAAUAGCUCAUCAUCUUCGGUGUUGGUCUCAGCUCAACAGUUAUUUGUGCCUAAACCACCAGGCACUGCUUCUUCAACCACUCAGAGGAACUCUCCACACCACUGACUUCCUUGGUGCCUGUAGCUUUUCCCUGGUUUGCAGUGGCUGGGUCCAAGAAACAGAGGUAGUGAGACACAUAUACAUCCACCUAUUUUUCUUAGACUUUCCUGGAAAGCUUCAAAAUCUUCAACUGUUAAUUUGCCAUUUUUUAAAGAAUGAUAAGAUUUUUAUGCACAUAUUUAAAACAAAUAUUUAAAUUGAAUUUGAGUGGUGAGGACAUGUCCUUGCAGGGUUCGGGAGGAAGAGAGGCAAAGAGAAAUUGAGUGAUAAACAGGUUAAAUGCUUGUGCUAAGAAUUCAAUAAAAACCUGCAACAAUGAGAAUUUGGGAAAAAUAGAA